AUUGAAUGCUGGCGGCAGGCCUAACACAUGCAAGUCGAGCGAGCGGCGGACGGGUGAGUAAUGUAUGGGGACUGCCCGAUAGAGGGGGAUAACUACUGGAAACGGUAGCUACUACCGCAUACUAUCGGAAAACCCAUAUGGGAUUAGCUCGUUGGUGAGGUAAUGGCGCACCAAGGCGACGAUACCUAGCUGGGCUGAGAUGAUGAUCAGCCACACUGGUACUGAGACACGGCCCAGACUCCUACGGAGGCAGCAGUGUGGAAUAUUGCACAGUGGGCGCAAGCCUGAUGCAGCCAUGCCGCGUGUAUGAAGAAGGCCCUAGGGUUGUAAAGUACUUUCAGUCGGGAGGCGUUACCGACAGAAGAAGCACCGGCUAACUCCGUGCCAGCAGCCGCGGUAAUUC
rnacentral:rRNA from 1 species